AUGGGGGUGGAGGCGAGGGAGAGAGCGGGUGUUGCUGAAGAAGCUGGGGAGGCAAGACGAGGGCGGCGUGGCGUUCCGUGGCCGCGGUGGCCGGAGGGGCGGCUCCACGUCGCGGUGUAUGAGGUGCCUAGAGGAGGAUGCCGCGGCAGGUUAAACUCCUCUCCCGUUGUAGAACAGUCCGCAGUGUCGUCACCGUCGUCCUUGCCUUCGAGCCAUCCGUGA
rnacentral:rRNA from 1 species